GGAAGGAUCAUUAACGAAUAACUAUGGUGUCUUGGUUGUAGCUGGCUCCUCGGAGCAAUGUGCACGCCCGCCAUUUUUAUCUUUCCACCUGUGCACCGACUGUAGGUCUGGAUGACUCUCGUACUCCGGUGCGGAUGCGAGGAUUGCUCUUGGGCUCUCCUCGAAUUUCCAGGCUCUACGUCUUUUUACACACCCCAAACGUAUGAUACAGAAUGUAGUCAAUGGGCUUGAUCGCCUAUAAAACACUAUACAACUUUCAGCAACGGAUCUCUUGGCUCUCGCAUCGAUGAAGAACGCAGCGAAAUGCGAUAAGUAAUGUGAAUUGCAGAAUUCAGUGAAUCAUCGAAUCUUUGAACGCACCUUGCGCUCCUUGGUAUUCCGAGGAGCAUGCCUGUUUGAGUGUCAUUAAAUUCUCAACCUCACCCGUUUUCUGAACGGUACCCGAGGCUUGGAUGUGGGGGUUUGUGCAGGCUGCCUCAGUGCUGGUCUGCUCCCCUGAAAUGCAUUAGCGAGUUCAUACUGAACCUCCGUCUAUUGGUGUGAUAAUUAUCUACGCCGUGGACUGGGUUUAGACUCGCUUCUAACCGUCCGCAAGGACAAUACCUUUGACAAUUUGACCUCAAAUCAGGUAGGACUACCCGCUGAACUUAAGCAUAUCAAUAAGCGGAGGAAAAGAAACUAACAAGGAUUCCCCUAGUAACUGCGAGUGAAGCGGGAAAAGCUCAAAUUUAAAAUCUGGCGGUCUUUGGCCGUCCGAGUUGUAAUCUAGAGAAGUGUUACCCGCGUCGGACCGUGUACAAGUCUCCUGGAAUGGAGCGUCAUAGAGGGUGAGAAUCCCGUCUUUGACACGGACUACCGAGGCUUUGUGGUGCGCUCUCAAAGAGUCGAGUUGUUUGGGAAUGCAGCUCAAAAUGGGUGGUAAAUUCCAUCUAAAGCUAAAUAUUGGCGAGAGACCGAUAGCGAACAAGUACCGUGAGGGAAAGAUGAAAAGAACUUUGGAAAGAGAGUUAAACAGUACGUGAAAUUGCUGAAAGGGAAACGCUUGAAGUCAGUCGCGUCCUCCGGGAAUCAGCCUUCCUUCUGGUUGGUGUACUUCCUGGUGGACGGGCCAGCAUCAGUUUUGACCGGUGGAAAAAGUUGGAGGGAAUGUGGCACCUUCGGGUGUGUUAUAGCCCUCUUUCGUAUACAUCGGUUGGGACUGAGGAACUCAGCACGCCGCAAGGCCGGGAUUCGUCCACGUUCGUGCUUAGGAUGCUGGCAUAAUGGCUUUAAUCGACCCGUCUUGAAACACGGACCAAGGAGUCUAACAUGCCUGCGAGUGUUUGGGUGGAAAACCCGAGCGCGUAAUGAAAGUGAAAGUUGAGAUCCCUGUCAUGGGGAGCAUCGACGCCCGGACCAGACGUUCUCUGACGGUUCUGCGGUAGAGCAUGUAUGUUGGGACCCGAAAGAUGGUGAACUAUGCCUGAAUAGGGUGAAGCCAGAGGAAACUCUGGUGGAGGCUCGUAGCGAUUCUGACGUGCAAAUCGAUCGUCAAAUUUGGGUAUAGGGGCGAAAGACUAAUCGAACCAUCUAGUAGCCGGUUCCUGC
rnacentral:misc_RNA from 1 species